UCCAUGUGUAGCGGUGAAAUGCGUAGAUAUAUGGAGGAACACCAGUGGCGAAAGCGGCUCUCUGGUCUGUCACUGACGCUGAGGCUNGAAAGCGUGGGUAGCGAACAGGAUUAGAUACCCUGGUAGUCCACGCCGUAAACGAUGAGUGCUAGGUGUUAGGCCCUUUCCGGGGCUUAGUGCCGGAGCUAACGCAAUAAGCACUCCGCCUGGGGAGUACGACCGCAAGGUUGAAACUCAAAGGAAUUGACGGGGGCCCGCACAAGCGGUGGAGCAUGUGGUUUAAUUCGAAGCAACGCGAAGAACCUUACCAGGUCUUGACAUCCCGAUGCUAUUCUUAGAGAUAGGAAGUUACUUCGGUACAUCGGAGACAGGUGGUGCAUGGUUGUCGUCAGCUCGUGUCGUGAGAUGUUGGGUUAAGUCCCGCAACGAGCGCAACCCUUAUUGUUAGUUGCCAUCAUUAAGUUGGGCACUCUAGCGAGACUGCCGGUAAUAAACCGGAGGAAGGUGGGGAUGACGUCAAAUCAUCAUGCCCCUUAUGACCUGGGCUACAUACGUGCUACAAUGGUCGGUACAACGAGUUGCGAGCCGGUGACGGCAAGCUAAUCUCUGAAAGCCGAUCUCAGUUCGGAUUGGAGGCUGCAACUCGCCUCCAUGAAGUCGGAAUCGCUAGUAAUCGCGGAUCAGCACGCCGCGGUGAAUACGUUCCCGGGCCUUGUACACACCGCCCGUCACACCACGAGAGUUUGUAACACCCGAAGUCGGUGAGGUANCCUUUUAGGGGCCA
rnacentral:rRNA from 1 species